UUUGUGAUAACGGCAUGAGUCUACAUCGACUCCAAAAACUUCGCGCAUCGGACCAGUAGAUUUUCUAUUUCAAAUUUGUUCAUCUGGUCUUCCAUUUCUUCACAAUUACAACUGAUUAUCCGUCAGUCCUUCAGGGAACCCUCGCUGAUUAUGCGCCGGAUAAGCCACCAUACGUACCAUCUCUGGUAAUCGAAUGUAUAUACCAAGUUGAAGCCCGUGGUGUGGAGGAGAGAUUCUUGUACAGAAAAGACGGCGACAUUAUCGAAGCGAAACGAUUGGUUAGAGAGUACCUUGGAAAUAAAAAAGUGCCGGACUUGAGCAACAUCGAUACAGAAACAGUUACCUUGACUUUGAAACUAUUUUUGACUUCUUUGAGCGACGCACUCAUUACCGAUGGAGUUCGGGAUGAUUUUGUCGAAGCAUCUCGCAUCCUCGAUUCAAGAAAAAAGCACGAAGCACUUUGUGAUGCCAUGCGAAGCCUUCCACGGUUUAAUCGCGACACUCUCAAUUAUCUUCUCGAACAUUUGCAAAAUAUUAUUCAGGAAGGACCUAGCGACAUUUUUCAUCGUCUCGCCUACGUUUUUGGCCCCAUUGUGGUCGGUGGAAGCUCUCAAUAUCUAACCCCAUUUUUAUUUAUGAUUUUACGAGAAGAUCAAAUUGAGGUUUUUGAAAGUCUGUUGGAACUGGGAGAUUGCGAUGAUGGCUUCUGGGUGUAAUCUUUUUCUUUUGUGCUAAUAUAUUGUACCCAUUUGUAUGAGCCCAAAAGAUUUGACCAGAAUGUAUACCAAAUCUAAUUGCUAUGUGAUGCUGUGAAAACGCACACAAUUGUUUGCUGGUGCAUUGAGUGCAAAGAUGAAAUAAAGGAAUUCUUUGAAAUGAA
rnacentral:lncRNA from 1 species